rnacentral:tRNA from 1 species
GCGCGGGUGGUGGAAUGGCAGACACGCUGGUUUCAGGUACCAGUGCCCUAACGGGCGUGAGGGUUCGACUCCCUCCCCGCGCA